rnacentral:rRNA from 1 species
GACGAACGCUGGCGGCGUGCCUAAUACAUGCAAGUAGAACGCAGUUGCGAACGGGUGAGUAACGCGUAGGUAACUGCCUGGUAGCGGGGGAUAACUAAUGGAAACGAUAGCUAAUACCGCAUACUACCAGAUGGACCUGCGUUGUAUUAGCUAGUUGGUGAGGUAACGGCUCACCAAGGCAACGAUACAUAGCCGACCUGAGGAGGUGAUCGGCCACACUGGGACUGAUACACGGCCCAGAUUCCUACGGGAGGGAGCAAUAAGGAAUCUUCGGCAAUUGGUGGAACCCUGACCGAGCAACGCCGCGUGGGUGGAGAAGGUUUUCGGAUCGUAAAGCUCUGUUGUUAAGGAAGCGGUACUUAACCAGAAAGGGACGGCUAACUACGUGCCAGCAGCCGCGGUAAUAC